AAUUUCUCACGAGCCUUAGAUAAUCAGAUUGUAAUUGUAGAAGCUAAUCUGCCACAAGAGAUGCACAGUGUCUCAACAGACCUUAAGCACUAGUUGAACUAGGAAUAUAAUCAAUUAGAUAAAUUCAGUUAGUAGGCAGAUGAGUCAGCAGGAAUGUAAAGAUCAGAUGUGAAUAUAUAUCCCGGUUCACUCCAACCCAGUGUUAAGUUCAGUCCCUAGCUUUACUAGGAGUUUUCCACUAUAAAUAAUACCAGAUUACAGACACGCGACACCUAAUUAAGGUGCUCAACAAGUAGUCUUGAACCCAUCCUCUUCAAACUAAUGACUAUUCUUUGGACCCAACCUCUCUAAGCUAAUUCACUCAGCAGAAUAAGGAUGAAAGGUGUAUGAGUUAAAGCUCAGAUACACUAUUUAGUGUUUACCAUGAGUAGCAAUGAUGUUCCUAUAUCAUGGUCAAAGGAUUUUACAAUGACUCAUCAAUAUAAUUGAAAGAAUGAUAGCUAGUGAGUUUCUUUUAAGCCGUGAGUAUAUUGUCCUGUCUCUCUUUCUGUAUGCUUAGUUUUCUUUCUUCCUUCUACAUGUAAUUUUUAUAGCCUUUAAUAUUUUGAUCGGUGGAGUGAACUAAUGAAGCAAACACAACAACAGCUUCAAAUCAGUCUUCAAGUACUCAUUGCAUUUGUUUUCAGUGUCACGACUUGGAUUUUUUAUCGCUAUUCUUAUCUGUAAUAAUAGUGAAAGCCUCUGAUCUCAAAUAGAUGUUCCAGUCAAUGCAGAGGGCUCUUCAGCAUUGUAGUUGAUAAUAAUAGAAUUUGCUAUUGCCGAGGUCAUGUUGAACACUUUCCUCUUUCAACUUCGGCAUAGGAAACUCUGUUCUGAUAAGCAUAUUUGAAUGAGAUUAGUCCUUGAUCAAAAUCAACACUCUUGAUCAGCUAGCUUACUUUUUCCUCAUGGUCCGCAAUAUGAUUGUUGAGGAUUGUAGAGUUGAUCCACCAGAUUGAUUCUUCAAUGUCCAUUAGUCUUUGUCUUCAGUUUGUUCAAGUGCAAAUGAGAGAUGCCUUUCUUCAGGUUGAGAGUUUCAGACACCCUUUAUCUUUGAACUUUUGCUUGAAUAAAUAUGUACAUGAAAUUAGUGCAUGAAGGGUUUGAUUGUGUUGACCUUUGAGCAUAUUAUCAUCCUUGAUUCAUUAGUUGCACUUGCAGAUGUUCUUCAGUUGACUCAUUGGUGUGGUUUCUUUCACAUGUGUUCUUAAAUCCAUGAAUAUGAGCUUGAUAUUCAAUAUAUUCUUCAGUGAUUGCAUUGCCACGAUUUUCUUUGGUGAGUGCACUUUGUAACUAGACUUCGAAUGCACUCUCCAUAAGACACAUUCCAUUUGUAAUUCAAUCUUGUUCUUCGACAAACACAAUGUUGAGCUUUCUUCGUGAUAUUCAUCUUCUGCAUGUAUGAUCGUUCAACCCAUAUUCUUGAAAAUUUGACUUUAGUCUUCUUCGAGUGAUAACAUAUGAGCUCCAGAAGACACACACUGGAUUCCUUUGGUUGAGACACACAUGUGAUCUUUUCUUAAGUCUCAUUUGUAACCUUCAAUUAUGCCCAGUCUUGUAGAAUAACUUACUUUUCAGCACACUCAUGUAACAUGUUAGUAAAACCUCACAUGUUUAUGAAAUCAUGAAGUGUGAUGUUUAUCAUCAAAACCAAAUGUGAUAGAUGCAUAGAGAUACAUCGAUUAUAACCGAUCAACAUCAAUCUUAGUUCUUAACAGGUACAUCCAUUAUUCCUGAGGUAGACCUCUUGCAAGGCCCUCUUGACCUCUGUCAAUGACCCCAUUUGAGAAGGUGGUGGUUACCUUUUUGAAUGAUGAAGAAGGUUGCAAAAAGGUUGGAAAUGCUUAAAAUAGGUGGGAACUGUAAGGAAGCAUUGUUGAAAAAUGCCUUGCACAAUUGUGGAUCUCACUGAAGAAGACAGAGAAGUGGAGGAAAAGGUAUAAAAGCCUUUGCAAAUUAAAGAUAGGAAUGGAAUAAUGUUCUUCCUUUUUAUCGCAGAAGGGUGGGAAAAACAUCUUACCAUGUGUCAUUCACUGUAAAAAUAGAUGGGAAUUUGCAUGCCUGACAAGAAAAAACUAUCCACUUUGGGUGUGCCAUGUGACCUGCUAGUCUGGUACUACUUCAUCGGUGCAUGAUCUCCACCAUGCACAUACGAAAAGUUACUGCACAUACUCAUCUCGAAGGAUCAUGUCUCAAAUUUCAUAAGGAUGGCAAUUUUAAGCACCCAUAAUUCCCUUGCCAAAACUGAACUUCAACAGUUUUAUUUCACAAGUGUUGAUCUGCUCUCGAGCACAACUUCAACCCUUGUCUCCAAUUGAUUCCAGGGUAGUUAUAACAUUGCCUGGCUUUCUUUUCAGGCAUAGCAUGUAGCAGGACGCACUAGCUUGGCACCAGUUACGAGGACAUUCGACAUAACACAAAUGCCUUAUCAUCCUAGAGACAAGUGUUCUUGAUUAGGCCAACAAUCUUAAUCCUUAUGGGGAUAAAUGGGUUAUGUCUGACUCAGCAUCCUUGGAAUUAGAAUAGGACCAACUUCCAUGGCUAAGAGACGCCCAACCACAUACAUGCCAUGUCAUGCCAGCUAGUACUAGGAGUUGUUCUCCUUGCCAAAGCACAAAUAGUUGUGAUUUGUCUUGUAUUUGUCCACUGCAGAAUCUGCUCCUCUAGCAUUGUCGAAUAGACUUCAAGGGACAGAUCAUAUGCAUCUCGGGGUCUAGUUAGACAAUCACAUUCUUGCGUAUAAAUAGAGAAGCACCUCCAAAGUGCAUGGGACUAUGGGUUAGUGUUCAUUUCUCUAUAUUCUUCCAUAGGCUUUUUAUAUAAACAUGACUGUAUAUCGAUGUGUAAAUACUGACUCGAUGCUUGGAGAGACCUAUUCAUGUAACCCAUGCGACGAAGGAUCGCAUUCAUGCUGCAACGACCUUGUGGACAACCUGCUCAAAUCCAAUACAAAUAUAUGUGGAAUUGUCUUUAUAGGUUGUUUGAGGUUUGUAGAUGCUCAGGGA
rnacentral:lncRNA from 1 species